rnacentral:rRNA from 1 species
GACGUAGGGCGCGAGCGUUGUCCGGAUUUAUUGGGCGUAAAGAGCUCGUAGGCGGCCUGUCGCGUCGACUGUGAAAUCCCGCGGCUCAACUGCGGGUCUGCAGUCGAUACGGGCAGGCUAGAGUUCGGUAGGGGAGACUGGAAUUCCUGGUGUAGCGGUGAAAUGCGCAGAUAUCAGGAGGAACACCGAUGGCGAAGGCAGGUCUCUGGGCCGAUACUGACGCUGAGGAGCGAAAGCGUGGGGAGCGAACAGG